AGCCGCGAAUCAGCGUGUGAACGCUCGGCCGCGUAUUUGUCUCAGAUUCGGUAUUUCGCAAAUACCGUAUUUCAUAAAUACGAGGUCUCGUGUGAACGAGGCUUAUGGCUAUGCGGUUCUGUUGCCAAUGUACGUGACACUUUCAUGACGCACACCUGGCUUAAGCCAACAGGCUUGCGACAAACAUAGUUACGUGAUCUAAAAAAAUGUAUCCAACUAUAAUAUUUUUGUACUAGCUUUGUUUUUGCGAUAUUCGAACGUAACCGUUUGAAAUAUAACCCCCUCCUGUGUAAAUAUAGUUACUUAGUAUAACAACAUUACAGGUGCCGCACCUUGAACUCGUAUUAAGAAAUGGUAUUAAAUUCUCACCGUGGGCGUGUAGACGUCUUCGUCAGUCCCGCGUGCGACGUAAACGAGGUAUUUCACGUGAAAUCAACACGACAAAUCCUGCACGAAUAGAAUGACACCCGAACGACAAAACAAUCGGCGCUAUUAUGUAACAUGGCGUCCCGGUCAUUUGACCUUGGCGUGCCACCAAUUACGAUCGCGCUGCGAAAUCAUUUAUUAAAACAAUAGAAUUCGCUAACCUUUCUGUGUGAAUUUCCGCGAUACUUGCACGCGAACUAUUAGUAUAUAUGCGAGACUGUCGGGUGUGCUGCAUGGCAACCGGGAUUGAAUAAUUAAUUACUACGUCUCUAUACCUCGGCACGACUUUCUCAUAACGACGCUAGGCUAUAUACACGGUUGCCUGGAAGCAAAAGAUGAAGAGGUUUCGCACGGUGCAGUGGCACCGAGCGCGUCCCCCGCAGCCAGAGUGCGACAUAGACGUGCACUAACAUCGGCUUGGCUCUCGCUCUAUAUACUAUCUACUAUAACGAUAUUAAUUAUAAUAGUAAUAUUGCUCGUCUAUGAUGUAACCUCCGUGUCCACGGCUUUGCGUAAUGAAGUGCAUGAAGGGUGUGUGGUGUUUGAGUUGGGAUCUGUGUAGCGUUUGACGUUUCCUGUAUUUAUUUCGUGGUUCGAAUGGGCUCCUAUAUGCAGAGUCUAAACGUUCAAAUACUGUCAAUCGUAUAAUUGCGUACCUGCUUUAGCGUGUUCAUAUGUUGGAAAAGUUGCAUAUAUCAUGACAACGUUGGAAAUGUUCUGAUGCAAUGAUACAUGUACGACCAUGGUACAUGAAGUUACGUCGCGUGUGCACACAACGUUAUUUUAUGACGGUGUGUGUCGCGAACGAAUCCGAACGAAAUUGUCGAAUAAGCAUGUCAGGGGACCAGUGGCGGAUCCAGGGGGAGGGGGGUCGCACCCUAGAAUUUUCAAGGCAAGGUGCUCUUGAGCUCGCAUGAUUCGCCCCCCCCCCUAGAAUUCACUUCUGGAUUCGCCACUGGGGGUUAAAGCUCUUUUUGUUCGUAUUUCUUUUAUAGUUAAAAUGCCGCAGUCAACGGGAUGGGCACUGGUCGAAUUAAACGAGUGCGGUCACUGACGUCUUGCGUGCGUUUUUACUGAAUCUAUAACUGUAAAUACUAUAGUAACAUUUUAUGCGAUAGAAUAAACGCUUUUUAAUAAGAAUA
rnacentral:lncRNA from 1 species